rnacentral:ncRNA from 1 species
ACGGAGGCGCCCAAAGGUUCCCUCAACCUGGUUGGCAAUCAGGUGGCGAGUGUAAGUGCACAAGGGAGCUUGACUGUGAGACUGACAGGUCGAGGGACGAAAGUCGGGACUAGUGAUCCGGCAGUGGCUUGUGGAAGCGCUGUCGCUCAACGGAUAAAAGGUACCUCGGGGAUAACAGGCUGAUCUUGCCCAAGAGUCCAUAUCGACGGCAUGGUUUGGCACCUCGAUGUCGGCUCGUCGCAUCCUGGGGCUGGAGUAGGUCCCAAGGGUUGGGCUGUUCGCCCAUUAAAGCGGUACGCGAGCUGGGUUUAGAACGUCGUGAGACAGUUCGGUCCCUAUCCGCUGCGCGCGUAGGAAGGAUUUGAGAGGAUCUGACCCUAGUACGAGAGGACCGGGUUGGACGAACCUCUGGUGUGUCAGUUGUUCCGCCAGGAGCACCGCUGAUUAGCUACGUUCGGGAUGGAUAACCGCUGAAAGCAUCUAAGCGGGAAGCCGGCCUCAAGAUGAGAC